rnacentral:misc_RNA from 1 species
AAAAUUUUAGAGAUGGUUGGCACUUUAAUCUGACAUGGAACAUCCAUUUGGCCUACAUAGAUCCUAUAACAGAAAAAUGGUUCUCUAGCAGUUCUGAUUUGGCCAAAUCAAGACAUCCAAUUUGAGAACAUAAUUUCCAAGGGCAUUGGCACAAGAAUAGCCAAUCAAUACUGCAAAAUAAGUAUAUUUGAUUUAUGUAAACCUAUAUCUGCUUCAUAUGGCAUUAUAGGAUUUCACUGUCCUGGAAAACAAAGGUGGUAGUAUGCUGUUUGGGCAGAAUGAUUUGUAGAUAAAGCUUUCAUUACUAAGAAUUCUAUGUAUUGACAGCUAAGAUUGGUUCCAAGUUCCAAUCUGUCAGGAGUCGGGAGGGUGCUUACCCCAUAGCUAUUAUAAUGCCGUAUGAAGCUAGCUAAUGAUUCUUGCUCUAUUUACAAGACGAGCAUCCCUUGCCAUCGUCUGCCUGUUCAUUUAUCAGUAACAAAUUACAAUUAUAUCCCACAAUUCAACUUUGAAUAGCGUGAUCGAGUUGCAAAGCUCAUCCCCUCUUGCAGAGCUGGUGCUUCUUCUCUUGAAGAAAUGGGCAUUAUACUAGACACUGUUGUAGGUUUGGAGGGAUUGGAACCAACAGCAAUAUGACCUAAACAUGACUGAUCCUUAGUUCUUCAACUUACUUGUUCGCGCCGGCUACACUCAUUUGAUGCCACCUGAUUAUUGAGAAGCUAUGGGUGACAUUGAUCCUUCUUUCGUUCAAGACCAUGAGCAGAGGCCAGAUUUCAAAAGCAUAGAAAUUGAAGAAAUCCCAGUUA